rnacentral:sRNA from 1 species
ACUCAGGACCUCCCUCAAGCAAAUGCUGUGCCUGAACAUCUUUCAAAUACAUCUUCUUCUUCUUCUUCUUCUUUUUCGUAUCCUUCUUAUCAACCUCAUC